rnacentral:rRNA from 1 species
GUUAGCGGACCUCUUCGGAGUCCCUAGCAUCAAAUCAUAUCCAUAACACCUGUGAACUGUAAGGCCUGUCUUGAAAACSARASYAAUUAGAGCGCCUGCCUAUUUUAUACAAACAUUAAAGUAACAAACGUAGUCUUAUUAUAAUCUAAUAAAACUUUCAACAACGGAUCUCUCGGCUCUCGCAUCGAUGAAGAACGCAGCGAAAUGCGAUAAGUAAUGUGAAUUGCAGAAUUCAGUGAAUCAUCGAAUCUUUGAACGCACCUUGCGCUCUUUGGUAUUCCGAAGAGCAUGCCUGUUUGAGUGUCAUGAAAAUAUCAACCUUGACUUGGGUUUAGUGCUCUUGUCUUGGCUUGGAUUUGGCUGUUUGCCGCUCGAAAGAGUCGGCUCAGCUUAAAAGUAUUAGCUGGAUCUGUCUUUGAGACUUGGUUUGACUUGGCGUAAUAAGUUAUUUCGCUGAGGACAAUCUUCGGAUUGGCCGAGUUUCUGGGACGUUUGUCCGCUUUCUAAUACAAGUUCUAGCUUGCUAGACAUGACUUUUUUAUUAUCUGGCCUCAAAUCAGGUAGGACUACCCGCUGAACUUAAGCAUAUCAAUAAGCGGAGGAAAAGAAACUAACAAGGAUUCCCCUAGUAACGGCGAGUGAAGCGGGAAGAGCUCAAAUUUGAAAUCUGGUGGCCUCAGGCUAUCCGAGUUGUAAUCUAUAGAAACAUUUUCCGCGUUGGCCCAUGUACAAGUCUCUUGGAAUAGAGCGUCAUAGAGGGUGAGAAUCCCGUCCUUGACAUGGACUACCAGUGCUUUGUGAUAUGUUUUCAACGAGUCGAGUUGUUUGGGAAUGCAGCUCAAAAUGGGUGGUAAAUUCCAUCUAAAGCUAAAUAUUGGCGAGAGACCGAUAGCGAACAAGUACCGUGA